GACGAACGCUGGCGGCGUGCUUAACACAUGCAAGUCGAACGAAGAGCGAUGGAAGCUUGCUUCUAUCAAUCUUAGUGGCGAACGGGUGAGUAACGCGUAAUCAACCUGCCCUUCAGAGGGGGACAACAGUUGGAAACGACUGCUAAUACCGCAUACGAUCUAAUCUCGGCAUCGAGGAUAGAUGAAAGGUGGCCUCUACAUGUAAGCUAUCACUGAAGGAGGGGAUUGCGUCUGAUUCGCUAGUUGGAGGGGUAACGGCCCACCAAGGCGAUGAUCAGUAGCCGGUCUGAUAGGAAGAACGGCCACAUUGGGACUGAGACACGGCCCAGACCCCUACGGGAGGCAGAAGUAGCGGAACGUCCGCCAUGGACGAGAGUCUGACGGAGCAACGCCGCGUCAGUGAUGAGGGACUUCGGGUUGUAAAGCUCUGUUAAUCGGGACGAAAGGACUUCUUGCGGAAAGUGAGAAGGAUUGACGGUACCGGAAGAGAAAGCCACGGCUAACUACGUG
rnacentral:rRNA from 1 species